rnacentral:rRNA from 1 species
CCUACGGGCGGCAGCAGUGGGGAAUAUUGGACAAUGGGGGGAACCCUGAUCCAGCCAUGCCGCGUGUGUGAAGAAGGCCCUCGGGUUGUAAAGCACUUUCAGUGAGGAAGAACGCCUGGUGGUUAAUACCCAUCAGGAAAGACAUCACUCACAGAAGAAGCACCGGCUAACUCCGUGCCAGCAGCCGCGGUAAUACGGAGGGUGCGAGCGUUAAUCGGAAUUACUGGGCGUAAAGCGCGCGUAGGUGGCUUGAUAAGCCGGUUGUGAAAGCCCCGGGCUCAACCUGGGAACGGCAUCCGGAACUGUCAAGCUAGAGUGCAGGAGAGGAAGGUAGAAUUCCCGGUGUAGCGGUGAAAUGCGUAGAGAUCGGGAGGAAUACCAGUGGCGAAGGCGGCCUUCUGGACUGACACUGACACUGAGGUGCGAAAGCGUGGGUAGCAAACAGGAUUAGAUACCCCUGUAGUA